CCCACGUGCUUUGUCCCGGCGGGCGCACGCGCGGGCGAACAUGGCGACGCGCUGCACGUCUCUCGUUACCGGACAGUGAGGUGCACCGGCAGAGAGAACACGAGACACGCCCAGUUUUCCUCCCGCUCCUCCGCCGGUCGUGUUCAGCACCCCCCCGCCGCAGAUGAACCCCGCAGCCCAACCCCGACAGGUACGCCGCCCCAAACACGCAUCACUUCCUGCUUCGUCUCCAUCUGCAUUUCAGGAUUUUCCAUGAAGAACCAAAGCAGCCAGCUUAUGUCUCAUUUAAUAUAACAUUCAAUAAAGAUAUAAAACAAUAAGGUAUCCCAUAAUACACAGAUUCACAAAAUCUCCCUGAGAUUUUAACUUUUAUUUAGCACAUUCUUCUCUAACAAACACAAUAGUUCAUCUCUUUUAGUGAGUGUUUUAUUUUGAGUUCUUAUUUUUUUUAAUUAUUUAUAUUUUAUGACCAGUAAAAAAUAUUAUCAGGAAACCCUGCCAUAAAACACUAUUUAAGAUCGAAUCAAAUGUUAAAAAAUUUGUCCAUUCUUAAUUUUUUCAAAGAUUUUUUUUUUUUUAAAGGAUGAUAAUAAAAUAUAAAAAAAAAUAAAAGAAAGAAAAAAUAAAUAAAUUGAAUAAUCAAAAAAUGAAGAGAAAAUUACAAUAAAAUAAAUAAGAAAUAUUAUUAAUAAACUAAUAUAGUAUUUUUUGAUUUAAUAAUAAUUAUUAAUAUUUUAAAUUAUUUUCAUUUUAAUUUUAGUUUGUUUUUGUAAUUUUUUUUAAUGUCUAUUUAGUUUAUUAAUUUGCUUUUAGUUUGAGUACUUCAGCUUUAAAUUAAAUUCGAAAGGUUUUGGCAGCUAACUGAAAUAAGUUUAGGUUUUUUAUUUUUAUUAACAAUUUAUUUGUAGUUUUAGUUAACGGUAUCAACACUGCUAAUGUCUUUAAUAAAUGAAUCAAGUGUAAAUAAACAUCUUAAAACAAUGAGAGAUUGCAAAAAUCUCGGCUCUUGAAGAUUCUGAAUGAUGUUUUUCCUUCAUGAACUCCUCGGAUGAUCCCUUUUUCCAAAUAAUUGUUGAAAAAAGAUGUUUUAUAACUAUCCUGACUUGUUUGGACAAACCAGA
rnacentral:lncRNA from 12 species